AGUCGCAUGGACGUGUGCGUGUGCGUGCCCCUCUGCCGUUUUCCCGUUGUGUCUCCGUGCCGCUGCCCUGCUCCUCGUCUUCCCCGCCCCCUCCAUGCGCGUGUGCGUGUGCGGGCGAGGCGGCUGAUCGAGGGGACGACGAGGUGGAGAGCAGCCACGGCACCGCAGCGCUGGGGAUACAUGGGCAGUGUGCAGGAGCAGCGGAGGAGAGGCACGCACACGCACUCUGGCAAGGGAGUAGUGGUGCGGAGGCCGCAGGGGAAUACGCAGCGGAGCGAGUGGGUACGGAGGCGGAGCGGAGGAGAGGCAGCGCUGCUUCUCUGUUCGCCCCGCUUGCGUUGGACUCGAGUGUGUCUGCGUGUGCGCCCCCUGCGGCCCUGGGCCCCCUCGCCUCUCUUGCGCGCUUCGCGUCGCUUGUUUCGUUGCUGUGGCUGUCUAACUACGCCAUCGAGUCGGCCAGAGUCGCGUGCGCGGAGUAUUCACACCACAUUACGGCAUGCGGCAUGCACCUACACCAGCCCCUGCGGCCUGCACGGCAGACGCCGCCGCCUCCGCCCUCGAGCAGGACCCUGCACCGGGGUCCGUGUGGCGCCGGUCGCGCUGCACGCGUGCGAGGGCGAUACGCGGAGGGACAAGGCGAGCCCCCGCUAGCAGCAUGGCCCGACUCGACGGCUGAACGGCUCGUCGUGGACGGCGCGGAUGUGGCCGCCGUGCGACAGGGGUGGGUGGGCUGCGGCUGUAUGCGUGCACGUGUGGACUCGGUCGUGAUGGAGUGAGACGUUGAUAAGGAAGUGCUCUGCUUUCCCUGGCAAGCACGCGAAGGAGGAGGUAACCACGGCAACCACAAAACGACACGUAUAUACAUACAUACAUAUAUAUAUAUCAUCAUCCAUGUCGGCGUGCGCCAACAGACCAUCAAAACGCCCCGGACUUUGUUUUCCCCGGCGACCGCCGCCCCCCUUGUGCUCGCCCGAGCGGACGGAGCGCGUGCGCCCUUUUCUCCUCGUGCUUCUCCAUUGCUUGCUUUUUGCUUGCUGUCUCUUUUGUUGUUGUCUCCGUUCCUCGACUGACUCACCCCAACAGCGUCACCGCCGCCGUUGCCGCCCCCCUCUUCUCCGAGAUGGGUGGGGCACGGGGAGCGCCGAGCUCUCUGGUGCUGCGAAGCGGUAGGGCUGCGCUCUGCGCGUGCGCGCGUGCGCUCUCGCGUGUCGGUGCGUGCCCGCACAUCUCUGGAUGCAUGUGCAUGUGCAUGUGCAUGUGUGCGUGUCUGUGCGUGCACACACGUGUAUGGCCGUGCGCGUGAAUAUGUGUACCUGUGCGCGCGUGCGCCUUGUGGCGGCGCAGGCCCUGUCUGCAUGGAUGCCUCUUGAUCUGCCCCUCUCUCCUCUGCCUGGUGCACCUUCGCGCACGCCUCACGGGUGCCUCUCGGAGAAGCACGGUGAUGGAGUGGGGCAGCCCAGACGUGAACGCGGACACCGGCACACGGGAGCCAGGAGCGCACAUGCGCGCACAAAGGCACUCAUUCUGCUAUACUGGCGAAAGGCAGC
rnacentral:misc_RNA from 1 species